CCCUGCCCAAUAGAGUGCCCAGCAGCAGGUGACUCAGUUCUAAGCAUUGCUGGAUGUUGCUGCUGAAAUUGCUGUGUUGGUGCAAGAUGGGCCAUAGGUCUGCCAGCAGAAGUUUGAACAUGUUGUCCAGUAUUGCCAGUAACAUGCUGUUGUGUAUAUGGCUGACCAGGUUGGGAAUGCAUCUGUUGUGAUGAAGACAUUCCUUGCUGGUAUGAUUGAACUGAUUGUGAGGAAACAGAUGAGUGCACAGACAAUCCCUGUGGUGGUGCUUGGGAAGGAAUGUUGGAAUACAUUGUUGGCCACUGAGCAUGAAACCCAAUAUGUUUUUCAUGUUGUGAUGUAUGUUGAAUUCCCUGGGCCUGAGGAUGCUGCAAAGCUGGCUGAUGGCCUGACGAUGGAGGACGCAUCGGUGCAGGAUGAUGAGAAACAUGUGUUUGUUGGUGGGACACAUGUACAGGUUGCAUCAAAGCACCUUGGGUUUGCUG
rnacentral:misc_RNA from 1 species